AGAGUUUGAUCCUGGCUCAGGAUGAACGCUGGCGGCGUGCCUAAUACAUGCAAGUCGAACGAGGUGCUUGAGUAGCAAUACGAGAGUAUCCUAGUGGCGAACGGGUGAGUAACGCGUUGGUGACCUACCCCAAAGUGUGGGAUAACAGUCCGAAAGGAUUGCUAAUACCGCAUGUGGUCAUCGGGUUUAGAAACCGAUGUCUAAUGGAGCAAUUCGCUUUGGGAGGGACCUGCGUCCCAUCAGCUAGUUGGUGAGGUAACGGCCCACCAAGGCGACGACGGGUAGGGGACCUGAGAGGGUGGCCCCCCACAAUGGAACUGAAACACGGUCCAUACACCUACGGGUGGCAGCAGUAGGGAAUAUUGCACAAUGGGCGAAAGCCUGAUGCAGCAACACCGCGUGUGCGAUGAAGGCCUUCGGGUCGUAAAGCACUUUUCUGAGAGAUGAGAAAGGACAGUAUCUCAGGAAUAAGUCUCGGCUAACUACGUGCCAGCAGCCGCGGUAAAACGUAGGAGGCGAGCGUUAUCCGGAUUUACUGGGCGUAAAGCGCGUGCAGGCGGUUCGGUAAGUUGGAUGUGAAAGCUCCUGGCUCAACUAGGAGAGGUCGUUCAAUACUACCAGACUUGAGAGCAGUAGAGGGAGGUGGAAUUCCCGGUGUAGUGGUGAAAUGCGUAGAUAUCGGGAGGAACACCAGUGGCGAAAGCGGCCUCCUGGACUGUUUCUGACACUCAGACGCGAAAGCUAGGGUAGCAAACGGGAUUAGAGACCCCGGUAGUCCUAGCUGUAAACGAUGUGAACUUGGCGUCGGCGGGUUCAAAG
rnacentral:rRNA from 1 species